GUCCAUUUACCUUAAAUAUUGUGCCAUCCUGUGGAUUCUCAAUUUCAACUGCCCCGUGUGGAAAAACAGUUUUUACAAUGAAAGGACCUGUCCAUCUUGAUCGUAACUUUUCAGGAAACAGAUGUAAGCGAGAGUCAUAACAAAGAACUUUUUGUGCAGGUUCAAAAGAUUUUCUUAGAAUUGAUUUAUCAUGCUUAAUUUUCAUUCGUUCUUUACAAAGUCUAGCAUUGU
rnacentral:lncRNA from 1 species